ensembl:lncRNA
GUAUAAACGCCUUAUGUCUUGUGCUCUUCAGUCUAUUUAUGUUUUUCCAGUCUUAUAUGUUCCCACUGCUGGCCAGUGCUCUUGGAUGGCAGCGCUAGAGACCGGGGUUCAAGUCCUGGCACACUAGAUCAUUCGGCCUGAGUGAUGUCAUGUGGUCUGAGUGACAAACAUCAUUCAGACCAAGAGUGAGUGACAGAGUGAAGUCUGAAGAUUAAGGUUACUACAAUGUGUAUUUAAUGUCAUAUAUAACCUCUCUAUGACAUCAAAUCAUGUAAAAGCCCUACUUUGGGUGGUCAACACGGGAACCAGUCGUCUUCUUUUUUAUUGGUCGUUAUGAAAAAAAACUUAAGGGGUAACACCGUUGUUUUUUAUUGGUCGUCAUGAGAAAGAACAUAAGGGGUAACACACUGUUGUUUUUUAUUGGUCGUCAUGAACAAAAACAUAAAGGGUAACACUGGUUUUUUAUUGGUCGUCAUGAAAAAAAACAUAAGGGGUAACACUGUCGUUUUUUAUCGGCCGUC